ACAUCAGUAGCCGCGGUAAUACGGAGGGGGCUAGCGUUGUUCGGAAUUACUGGGCGUAAAGCGCACGUAGGCGGCUUGGUAAGUUAGAGGUGAAAGCCCGGAGCUCAACUCCGGAAUUGCCUUUAAGACUGCCGAGCUAGUAGGUGAGAGAGGUAAGUGGAAUUCCGAGUGUAGAGGUGAAAUUCGUAGAUAUUCGGAAGAACACCAGUGGCGAAGGCGGCUUACUGGCUCAUUCUAGACGCUGAGGUGCGAAAGCGUGGGGAGCAAACAGGAUUAGAUACCCCGGUAGUCCCUGUCUCUUAUAC
rnacentral:rRNA from 1 species